UACGGGGGGGGCAAGCGUUGUUCGGAAUUACUGGGCGUAAAGCGUGCGCAGGCGGUCCGCAAAGUCUGAUGUGAAAGCCCCGGGCUCAACCUGGGAACUGCAUUGGAAACUAACGGGCUCGAGUGUGGCAGAGGGGGGUGGAAUUCCACGUGUAGCAGUGAAAUGCGUAGAGAUGUGGAGGAACACCGAUGGCGAAGGCAGCCCCCUGGGCUAACACUGACGCUCAGGCACGAAAGCGUGGGGAGCAAACAGG
rnacentral:rRNA from 1 species